rnacentral:misc_RNA from 1 species
CAACGGUGGGCAGCGCGUGCGCACAGCGCUCGCAUAUUCGGGCCACGGGGCCUGCUUCAGGACGGCGCUGUUGCCUGGGGAGGGGAACGGACUCGCUCUCUUCGUCUUCUCCGUCCCCGUCGCUGCCACGGGGACGUGCCGGGGUGACGUGCACGCUCACCGCGUGAGGCGAGGUGUGCUUCGAGCGUCGGGCGAUCCGCGAAUCUCGCGCAGCAUACCGGGCACCACGCCGGGCCGGACGCCCUCAUGGCCAGCACCGGCGAGGGUGGAGGCUCUGGCGGGGGCGGGGGGCGCCGCAACACCAGCGGAGCAGCGGGCAGCACGCCAUCCGCGCUCCGCCUCGUCGCUGCCAGGCGCCCGCCGCUGCAGCGAUCCCCAGUGCAUGGACGGGGUGCCCGCGCGGGCCUGUGCGAGGAUGGCCGCCCGUCGUACCGUGAGCUCAGCAUCCCUGCUCCUCUGGUGUGGGACGGCUGCCGCCAAGCACCUCUUGUCUCAGCGUGCCGCAUCGUGUAUCGCGGUUUCGGGCGAUGUCGGCCUGGCGUCUGAGGCCGGCGACCAGGCGCGUGAUCCACGCAGUCGGCGCCGGCUCCUCUGCCACUGCCGAUCCGGCAAGCCUGCCAACCUCGCCGUGGUGCGCCCAUCCGCAAUGGCCACAGGCAGACUGAAAUGAGAGGCGCACGCGACGGGCCGGCAGCGCCAGCACUUGUGCCCAGAUACGUCCGCCGCAUGCCCUCCCCCACCGCUGCGGGGCCCGUGCCGGGUGCCAAGCGGAGGGAGAGCGCGCCCGUAGCAACAGCGGCGCGGGCCCCCCUCUGCGCGUUGGCGGCUGCGCGUGAGGGCGGUGUGUGCAUGCGGAGCUGCGAAGGGGUCGCUGCCUGCACACCCGCGUGGGAGCCGCCGAAGCGCUGUGGCGCCGCCGAGGGGCAGUGGAUCCGCCUCCUCGAGCAGGUUCCCCGCUGUCCGCGCGCCGCGGGGUACCCACUGCGACUGCGGCCGCGGGGGGGAGGGGGGCGAGGGCGUUGCAGGGCUGCGCCCCUCCGUCGGGGCUGGCUCUUUGGUGCUGUUCGAUGAAUGCGCCCAGGAGAGGGCCAUGCUCGGGCGGCGCGCGGGGCGUCUUCUUCCCGGGGGUAGCCCCCAGAGGCGCCCGCCCUGGCCCCCAGAACGGCCUACGAGCGGGCCCCCCCCGGCGGUGUCCGCCAUGAGUCUGGCCAUGCGGUUUGCCUUGCCCGUGGGUGGCGCGUUGCGGCCGUGCAUGUGCGGUGGUGGGUGCGGCUGCGUGGCGGAUCCGCCGCUUCUCCCUGGUGCGCCUUCGGGCCGUCGCGGUGGUCUCGGGGUCGGCGCGGCCCUUGCGGAUCGAUUUGGCAACCAGCGGCCGGCACGGUUUCCGGCCCACCCCGCGUAAAGGGCAUAACGGGGCCACCGCUGCUACUGGCGGCGCCGGGCCAUAUCCCUCCCCAGGGUGGGCAGCGAGCUUGGCCACGCGGUGGCCACCCGGCGCUGUGGUGGCCCCCCCAUGGCCCCGUCUGCGCUGUGCCGUUUCUCGGGGUGCCACCACCGCUCGCGGGCGCCAGGUGUUUGCCCUCGGGCCCAUCGCGCGGGGGCAGGGCGGGGCAGGUGCCCGAACACGCCAACCACGCUUUCCGGUGGCGCGCACCGGCCGGCACCUUUACGGUCCCCACGGCGUGGCGCAAAGCAGCGCUGGACAGCCGCUGCGGCAACGCGCCCACCCAGCCGCCGCAGCACGGCCCCAGCCCGCAACGCAACCCACCGGCCCCCACUUUGUAGGCUGCCCUACAGCAGUUAUCAUCAUGCCGGUGGCCGCGGGGUGCACCCCUCGGGGUGGCUCAGGGCCCCCCCCACCAGCAGGCGGUGUGAGGACCGGCUGGGAUACGUCCGAAUCGUGCUGACACCCUGCUCAUCAUAUGGGUGGGGCAGAGGCAUCCGCUGUCGCAGGUCGCUCCAACGCAGCGCCAUCCAGGACGUGGCCGCUGACAUCAAGCAGCGACAAGUCGCACUGGCCCUCCCCACGUCCUGUGCGCCUGACCCUGUCGGGGCCAGGGGCGGCUUGGUGUUGGCAGGGAUGGGAAGGGGGGGGGGAGGAUCUGAUUGGCUACCUCGGAGUGUGAGCACUUAACGUAGAUGGCGUGCAGUGAUGUGUCUCUCCGUUAAAGAGCUAUGAAGGACUGUAAAAUGAAAAACGAAAAGUUGCUGAUCGACGUGGGGGAAAAAUGCAAAGAUGAAGAGCGGAUCUGCGUGAUUUUCGAGAUCCGUGUGUGUGGAAAACUUCUAUUGGCGAUUCAAGCGCUAAUUUGCUUGUCACAUACCCGCCUUUUCUUGGUUUGUCUCUUCAUUUGCCUGAUCCUUCUCGUGGCAUUCAUUGAGGUCGUUGGAGACAAUCCGGCAGCGACUAAAAUUGGUCUCCCUUUUAUGAAGGAGCGUACGCGUUCUGCAGGGCUUCAUGAAAGCACAAUGCACUUUUAUGUCAUCGUUUAUUGCUGUCAUAUUUUCUUUUGCCCUUGUUUUUCCGUUUUACUGAGCAUUGGGCAAACAG